UUGACGCUGGCGGCAUGCCUUACAGCUGCAAGUCGAACGGUAACAGGUCUUCGGAUGAUGACGAGUGGCGAACGGGAGUAAUACAUCGGAACGUGCCCGAUCGUGGGGGAUAACGGAGCGAAAGCUUUGCUAAUACCGCAUACGAUCUACGGAUGAAAGCAGGUGACCAGAAGGCCUUGCGCGGACGGAGCGGCCGAUGGCAGAUUAGGUAGUUGGUGGGAUAAAAGCUUACCAAGCCGACGAUCUGUAGCUGGUCUGAGAGGACGACCAGCCACACUGGGACUGAGACAACGGCCCAGACUCCUACGGGAGGCAGCAGUGGGGAAUUUUGGACAAUGGGCGAAAGCCUGAUCCAGCCAUGCCGCGUGCAGGAUGAAGGCCUUCGGGUUGUAAACUGCUUUUGUACGGAACGAAAAGACUCCUUCUAAUAAAGGGGGUCCAUGACGGUACCGUAAGAAUAAGCACCGGAUAACUACGUGACCAAAAACACGCGGUAAUACGUAGGGUGCAAGCGUUUAUCGGAACUACUGGGCGAUAAGCGUGCGCAGGCGGUUAUAUAAGACAGAUGUGAAAUCCCCGGAGAUCAACCUGGAGAAACUGACAUAGUGACUUGUAUAGAUAAGAGGACGAGACGAGGGGGAUGGAAUUCCGCGUGUACCAAUGAAAAGCGUAGAUAUCGGAAGGAACCCGAU
rnacentral:rRNA from 1 species